rnacentral:rRNA from 1 species
CCUACGGGAGGCAGCAGUGAGGAAUAUUGGUCAAUGGGCUCGAGCCUGAACCAGCCAAGUCGCGUGAGGGAAGACGGUCCUAUGGAUUGUAAACCUCUUUUGUCGGGGAGCAAAAGACGCCACGUGUGGCGUUCCGAGAGUACCCGAAGAAAAAGCAUCGGCUAACUCCGUGCCAGCAGCCGCGGUAAUACGGAGGAUGCGAGCGUUAUCCGGAUGUAUUGGGUUUAAAGGGUGCGCAGGCGGAAGAUCAAGUCAGCGGUAAAAUUGAGAGGCUCAACCUCUUCGAGCCGUUGAAACUGGUUUUCUUGAGUGAGUGAGAAGUAUGCGGAAUGCGUGGUGUAGCGGUGAAAUGCAUAGAUAUCACGCAGAACUCCGAUUGCGAAGGCAGCAUACCGGCGCUCAACUGACGCUCAUGCACGAAAGUGUGGGUAUCGAACAGGAUUAGAUACCCCAGUAGUC